GUCUGAAGACUGUCCCUAAAGACACCCUGUCUUCAGUCUGCAGCAGGUCUGCUGGCUCAGAGAGACAAGAUCCAGAGGGACAUCCAGAACCUGGAGGAUGUCCUGGGACCGCAGAGUCCGACUUGUAUCUCAGAUGAAGACGACAGCAGCAGCAGCAGUGAGGAGAGUGAGCUGGGUCUGUCCCCGUCCCCCGAAUCCUGUCUUCAGAUGAACCUGGUAUACCAGCAGGUGGUCCAAGAGACGCUGGACCAGCUGGAGACACUACUGACAAACAACCACAGACAGCAGGUCAGCACUGACACAAUAUCACAGACAGCAGGUCAGCACU